rnacentral:rRNA from 1 species
AUUGAACGCUGGCGGCAGGCUUAACACAUGCAAGUCGAACGAGUGGCGGACGGGUGAGUAAUGUCUGGGAAAUUGCCCGAUGGCGGGGGAUGACUACUGCAAACGGUAGCUAAUACCGCAUACCAGUGGAUGUGCCCAGAUGGGAUUAGCCAGUAGGCGGGGUGAUGGGUCACCUAGGCGACGAGCCCUAGCUGGGCUGAGAGGAUGACCAGACACACUGGAACUGAUACACGGGCCAGACUCCUACGGGAGGCAGGAGAGGGGAAUGUUGCACAAUGGGCGCAAGGCUGAUGCGGCCAUUGCGCGUAGAUGGAGAAGGCCUUCGAGUUGUAAAGGUCGUUCAGCGAGGAGGCGUUACUCGCAGAAGAAGCACCGGCUAACUCCGUGCCAGCAGCCGCGGUAAUAC